AGAUUGAACGCUGGCGGCAUGCCUAACACAUGCAAGUCGAACGGGAGUAGCAAUACUCUAGUGGCGGACGGGUGAGGAAUACGUAGGAAUUUGCCCUUAAGUGGGGGAUAACCCGGGGAAACCCGGAUUAAUACCGCAUGACCUCGAAAGAGCAAAGUGGGGGAUCGCAAGACCUCACGCUUUUGGAGAAGCCUACGUCGGAUUAGCUAGUUGGUGAGGUAAUGGCUCACCAAGGCGACGAUCCGUAACUGGUCUGAGAGGAUGAUCAGUCACACCGGAACUGAGACACGGUCCGGGCUCCUACGGGAGGCAGCAGUGGGGAAUAGUUGGACAAUGGGCGCAAGCCUGAUCCAGCAAUGCCGCGUGUGUGAAGAGGCCUUACGGGUUGUAAAGCUACUUUAAGGUUGGAAAGAAAAACUCGGACUACUAACAC
rnacentral:rRNA from 1 species